GGACUCGUCUGGAGGGGAAAGCGGCGAACGGGUGAGUAACACGUAGGUGACCUGCCCCGAAGACGGGGAUAACCACUGGAAACGGUGGCUAAUACCCGAUGUACUCAACGAUUCGGUUCGUUGAGUAAAGCUCCGGCGCUCCGGGAGGGGCCUGCGGCCUAUCAGCUAGUUGGUGGGGUAACGGCCCACCAAGGCAGAGACGGGUAGGGGGCGUGAGAGCGCGAUCCCCCACACUGGCACUGAGAUACGGGCCAG
rnacentral:rRNA from 1 species